AAAGUUCCCCUGCUUUGGGGAGAAAUACCAUGAUCACGAAAGGUGGUUUUCCCCAAGGCGAGGCAUUGCACUCCGGAUGUGCUGACCCCUGUGAUUUCCCCAAAUGUGGGAAACUCGAGUACAUAAUUUGUGGUAGUGGGGGACUGCGUUAGCACUCUCCCCUU
rnacentral:snRNA from 1 species